rnacentral:sRNA from 1 species
GCUGAGAUCGCCUUUGAAUUCAAUAACAAGUGUAUUUCAAUGAAUUAGUUAUUUAACUAAGAAACUCAGCUGAAAUGCGCAAUUAUUGACUGCCUUAACUUAACCCUCGAGUUCAAAACUAUUUGGAAAAGAGUAGGCUCCAGCAUAACAACCUAAAACUGCACGCCGAACCUGCUUCGACUAAGAACACACAAGCCUCUGUUAGUAUUGGUUCAAUAGAGGGGCCCCAAGGUGAAGCGCUAAUGCGACAUCAACCUCAACACGUGGCUGGAGCUGGUAGUGAUUGCACAAAACCCUUUUCAGCGGAAUGAAUGGAUUCCUCAAAAAUGCACUGACUGGCCAGUCCGAGAAGAUAUUGAAAUAUAACACAAAGCAAGAAGCGAAACGAAGGAAACAAAUGGUGCACUCACGGAAAACAAAACGAGAAAAGCUGAACGCGAGAAAUCUUGUAGCACCGAUGGAACACCAAAUGAAGAGGAAGUCAACUGUUCAAGAUAAAAUCGAGGAUUGCUGGAAAGUCGUAAUGGAUUAUCUCAACGUAGAAGACCACCUCAGCCUUGCUUCCUCGAACGUGUAUAUCGGAGAGAUGUUCAAGAGAUACGAUCGAUUCUAGGCGGAGCGGAGAAUAGGAGCGGAUGGGAAGAUCUAUACAUCCUGAAAAAGCUCAAAGCCUUGGACGAUACUCUGGGAACUCUGUGGCAGUUCCAGAGAAAGGUCAGGGGAAUAGAGCCGUUCCAAAUGCCCUGCGUAUCGGAUUCCUCUGGACGGACUGUCAUCCAGAGAUGAGUGAACGGCAACGAGCACUUCAGUCGGCACUGGGCAGACUACAAAAUGAGUUUCGGAAACCCACGGGAGAACUUCUUUCUUGGACUGGAAAAAAUCCAUCUAAUGACCCUGCUAGAGCCUCACGAGUUGGAUAUCCAACUCCAAGAUGUCAAUGGAGAAACCACCUAUGCUCGCUAUGACGAUUUCAGAAUAGGGAGCGAAGAGGUUUUUUGAAUUUUCGCUCACAAAUCGUACU